UGCAGCCGCGGUAAUUCCAGCUCCAAUAGCGUAUAUUAAAGUUGUUGCAGUUAAAAAGCUCGUAGUUGAAUUUCGGGAUUAGUGCGCCGGUCGUGCCUUCGGUAUGUACUGGUGUUACUGGUUCCUACCUUCUGACGAACCGUCAUGUCAUUAAUUUGGUGUUGCGGGGAGACUGGACUGUUACUUUGAAAAAAUUAGAGUGUUUAAAGCAGGCUAACGCUUGAAUACAUUAGCAUGGAAUAAUGAAAUAGGACGUUCGAUCUUAUUUUGUUGGUUUCUAAGAUUGACGUAAUGAUUAAUAGGGAUAGUUGGGGGCAUUAGUAUUCAAUUGUCAGAGGUGAAAUUCUUGGAUUUAU
rnacentral:rRNA from 1 species